rnacentral:sRNA from 1 species
UAUCUCCCCAGCCUAGAUUUGAUGCUAGCCCUAUUGGGUAGUAGUUGUAAAGAUGCUUCUAUUUCUGCCUAAACCAGCCCCCUGGGAAAAAGAAUGACAGCAUAUUCUGGAGAAAGGAAAGGGGUUGGUGAGGGCAAUCUAGUCAACAUCCGUCACUCCAUUGCUUGUUAGGAUUAUUUUAGCCGAUUUGUCUGACUGGGCAGGUGUCCCCUCUCUCCCUCAGUGCUCCAUGUGCAUCCCUCUUGAAGCUUCGCACUCUGUUGAAGAGGACACUCAUCCCAGUCAUUAUUUAGAAGCAAGGUCCUUGAAUGAGCGAGAUUAUCGGGACCGGAGAUACGUUGACGAGUACAGGAAUGACUACUGUGAAGGAUAUGUUCCUAGACAUUAUCACAGAGACAUUGAAAACGGUUAUCGAAUCCACUGCAGUAAAUCUUCAGUCCGCAGCAGGAGAAGCAGUCCUAAAAGGAAGCGCAAUAGACACUGUUCAAGUCAUCAGUCACGUUCGAUGAAAUCGUGGACACUUUGGGUGAAGGAGCCUUUGGCAAAGUUGUAGAGUGCAUUGAUCAUGGCAU